rnacentral:rRNA from 1 species
CGUACACUCCUACGGGAGGCAGCAGUGGGGAAUAUUGGACAAUGGGCGCAAGCCUGAUCCAGCCAUGCCGCGUGAGUGAUGAAGGCCCUAGGGUUGUAAAGCUCUUUCACCGGUGAAGAUAAUGACGGUAACCGGAGAAGAAGCCCCGGCUAACUUCGUGCCAGCAGCCGCGGUAAUACGAAGGGGGCUAGCGUUGUUCGGAUUUACUGGGCGUAAAGCGCACGUAGGCGGACUAUUAAGUCAGGGGUGAAAUCCCGGGGCUCAACCCCGGAACUGCCUUGGAUACUGGUAGUCUUGAGUUCGAGAGAGGUGAGUGGAAUUCCGAGUGUAGAGGUGAAAUUCGUAGAUAUUCGGAGGAACACCAGUGGCGAAGGCGGCUCACUGGCUCGAUACUGACGCUGAGGUGCGAAAGCGUGGGGAGCAAACAGGAGGAGAUACCCCUGUAGUCCCAUG